rnacentral:rRNA from 1 species
GUAGGGAAUAUUGCGCAAUGGGGGAAACCCUGACGCAGCGACGCCGCGUGAGUGAUGAAGGCCUUCGGGUCGUAAAGCUCUGUUGCAGGGGAAUAAAAAAAUGAAGGUACCCUGUGAGGAAGGAUCGGCUAACUUCGUGCCAGCAGCCGCGGUAAGACGAGGGAUCCUAGCGUUGCUCGGAAUCAUUGGGCGUAAAGAGGGCGUAGGUGGCUUGGUAAGUCAGGUGUGAAAGCCCAGGGCUCAACCCUGGAAGUGCAUUUGAUACUGCUGAGCUUGAGUGUCGGAGAGGUUACCGGAAUACCUGGUGUAGUGGUGAAAUACGUAGAUAUCAGGUGGAACACCGGAGGCGAAGGCGGGUAACUGGACGAACACUGACACUGAGGCCCGAAAGCGUGGGGAUCAAACAGGAUUAGAAACCCUAGUAGUCC